AUUGAACGCUGGCGGCAGGCCUAACACAUGCAAGUCGAGCGAGCGGCGGACGGGUGAGUAAUGUAUGGGAACUGCCCGAUAGAGGGGGAUAACUACUGGAAACGGUGGCUAAUACCGCAUACUAUCGGCUAACCCAUAUGGGAUUAGCUAGUAGGUGGGGUAAAGGCUCACCUAGGCGACGAUCUCUAGCUGGUCUGAGAGGAUGACCAGGAACACUGGGACUGAGACACGGCCCAGAGGAGUACGGGGGGAGAAGUGGGGAAUAUUGCACAAUGGGUGAAAGCCUGAUGCAGCCAUGACGAGUGAGGGAUGAAGGCUUUAGAGUUGUUAACCUCUUUCGCUAUCGAACGGGUAGGUGGAGAAGAAGCGCCGGCUAACUACGUGCCAGCAGCCGCGGUAAUAC
rnacentral:rRNA from 1 species